GGUCUUGCGCAAUAGAAUUCUGUGAAUCUCGUCAGGUCCGGAAGGAAGCAGCGAUAAGCAGUAAAUUCUGUGUGCCGCUAGGUUACCUGAUUU
rnacentral:SRP_RNA from 1 species